GACGAACGCUGGCGGCGUGCCUAAUACAUGCAAGUAGAACGCUGAAGGAGGAGCUUGCUUCUCCGGAUGAGUUGCGAACGGGUGAGUAACGCGUAGGUAACCUGCCUGGUAGCGGGGGAUAACUAUUGGAAACGAUAGCUAAUACCGCAUAACAGUAGAUGUUGCAUGACAUUUGCUUAAAAGGUGCAAUUGCAUCACUACCAGAUGGACCUGCGUUGUAUUAGCUAGUUGGUGAGGUAACGGCUCACCAAGGCGACGAUACAUAGCCGACCUGAGAGGGUGAUCGGCCACACUUGGACUGAGACACGGCCCAGACUCCUACGGGAGGCAGCAGUAGGGAAUCUUCGGCAAUGGACGGAAGUCUGACCGAGCAACGCCGCGUGAGUGAAGAAGGUUUUCGGAUCGUAAAGCUCUGUUGUAAGAGAAGAACGAGUGUGAGAGUGGAAAGUUCACACUGUGACGGUAUCUUACCAGAAAGGGACGGCUAACUACAUG
rnacentral:rRNA from 1 species